rnacentral:rRNA from 1 species
UGAGGAAUAUUGGUCAAUGGGCGAGAGCCUGAACCAGCCAAGUAGCGUGCAGGAUGACGGCCCUAUGGGUUGUAAACUGCUUUUAUAUGGGAAUAAAGUGAGGGACGUGUCCCUUAUUGCAUGUACCAUAUGAAUAAGGACCGGCUAAUUCCGUGCCAGCAGCCGCGGUAAUACGGAGGAUGCGAGCGUUAUCCGGAAUUAUUGGGUUUAAAGGGUGCGUAGGUUGCAAGGGAAGUCAGGGGUGAAAAGCUGUAGCUCAACUAUGGUCUUGCCUUUGAAACUCUCUAGCUAGAGUGUACUGGAGGUACGUGGAACGUGUGGUGUAGCGGUGAAAUGCAUAGAUAUCACACAGAACUCCGAUUGCGCAGGCAGCGUACUACAUUACAACUGACACUGAAGCACGAAAGCGUGGGUAUCAAACAGG